GAUGAACGCUGGCGGCGUGCCUAAUACAUGCAAGUCGAGCGAGCGGACGAGAAGCUUGCUUCUCUGAUGUUAGCGGCGGACGGGUGAGUAACACGUGGAUAACCUACCUAUAAGACUGGGAUAACUUCGGGAAACCGGAGCUAAUACCGGAUAAUAUUUUGAACCGCAUGGUUCAAAAGUGAAAGACGGUCUUGCUGUCACUUAUAGAUGGAUCCGCGCUGCAUUAGCUAGUUGGUAAGGUAACGGCUUACCAAGGCAACGAUGCAUAGCCGACCUGAGAGGGUGAUCGGCCACACUGGAACUGGGACACGGUCCAGACUCCUACGGGAGGCAGCAGUAGGGAAUCUUCCGCAAUGGGCGAAAGCCUGACGGAGCAACGCCGCGUGAGUGAUGAAGGUCUUCGGAUCGUAAAACUCUGUUAUUAGGGAAGAACAUAUGUGUAAGUAACUGUGCACAUCUUGACGGUACCUAAUCAGAAAGCCACGGCUAACUACGUG
rnacentral:rRNA from 1 species